rnacentral:misc_RNA from 1 species
UGGUGUAGAGCAGCGGAGUGA